UCAAGAAGACAAAAAAAAAAAACCAAAAUAACACACAAAAAAACUAUUACUUAAGGGAUUGUUGGAAAUAAUAUAUGUAUCUCCAGCUUAUAAAAAUUAAAAUUAUUAUUAUAGAAAUUAGGACUCCAUAAAGCCUAUACUUCAGAUAUAGGAGGAAUUGUAAGUGGCCAAGUUGAGGAGACAAUAAAAUUACUGUAGUUUCUAACCUCAAAGGGAAGGUCUCACUCCACCCCCAACUGCUUAUGAAUGCUAUUUAAAAUGGGAAAACUGACGUGUUUUAGGCAUUAAGCCAGUCGUGAAGUCUACAUUAGGGCACAAUUUUACCUCCUAGGCAGGGACUGGCUAGCAUGCAGGGAGAUGACAUUUCCCGGCCUCCCCUGCAGGCUGGCCAUGUUACCCAAAGCAAUGGGAGUGAAUGAUAGUGUGCUGUUUCCGCGCCACAGCUCGAAACAAACGGGCUUCCUCCUCACUCUUCCUUUUCUGCUGCUUUGGAUAUAAAUAACUGUCACAGCCUAGGCCCACUCCUGUCAGGGCUCUAAGAGAAUGGAGGGCAAUGCUAGAAGGCCUCCAUUGUAUGCAGUGAAUAUGAAAAUAGUCACCUAAUUCAUUUUCAUUUUGUUUAUAAUAAAUUAAAAAGAAACGAGAUCUGUUACAGCAGCUAAUACUACCUCAACUAACUGAUCACCCUAAACUGACUCUCCUUUAAUAUAUAUUUUUUGUUUGUUUUUUCUUCCAGUACCAGGAAUCGAACUCACGACCUUGCGCUUGUCAGGCAGUGUCCCUCUGCCACACCAUCCUGCCUUGGAGCCAGCGACUGUGGAGUGAAGCCUCUACAGACUGAGCCAAAACAAACCUUUCCUCCUUUAACUUGUGGGCGUCAGGUAGUCUGUGUCAGAACAAGCAAAGUAACUAAGAUGUUCAUGUUUCAGUGAUUAAAAGGAAGGCACACAAAUUGAAUAACUUACAGUUUUUUCUUAACAAAAUACAAAUGGUUUAUACAAUUCUUCUAUGGUAGUUUUUUACAAUCAGUCAAUAACAAAGUAUAAUACAAUCAGUCAAUAACAAAGUAUGAUUUUAAUUUUAAUAAAAAGAGUCUAUUUGAAAAUUAUGAAUUCAAUUACAA